rnacentral:rRNA from 1 species
GGCGGCGUGCCUAAUACAUGCAAGUCGAGCGGAUUGAUGGGAGCUUGCUCCCUGAUAUCAGCGGCGGACGGGUGCAGUAACACGUGGGUAACCUGCCUGUAAGACUGGGAUAACUCCGGGAAACCGGGGCUAAUACCGGAUAACUCAUUUCCUCGCAUGAGGAAAUGUUGAAAGAUGGCUUCGGCUAUCACUUACAGAUGGACCCGCGGCGCAUUAGCUAGUUGGUGAGGUAACGGCUCACCAAGGCGACGAUGCGUAGCCGACCUGAGAGGGUGAUCGGCCACACUGGGACUGAGACACGGCCCAGACUCCUACGGGAGGCAGCAGUAGGGAAUCUUCCGCAAUGGACGAAAGUCUGACGGAACAACGCCCCGUGAGUGAUGAAGGUUUUCGGAUCGUAAAGCU